GCGUGAGCUUAGGAUGAUAUUGGUGCAAAUCCGUUAUCUUUUCCAGCUUGGUUCUGAGACGUCCAAGUUGCCAAGUCUCAACAAGUAUGUGGUUAUGAUAUUCCUUGAAAAAUUGGCUGUGUAUAUGGGCACGACUUGACUGUCUUUCCAUUACCUAGAAUCGCCACCUUUCUGCACUAAGGACACAUAGGUUGAUCCAGAUGCUGUUGUUGCUGCCUUCGUCCUUGAUUAUUUUCACUGUGCAUCUUACUCAAGAGG
rnacentral:lncRNA from 1 species